rnacentral:rRNA from 1 species
GCCGGCAGCUAGCUCUCUGCAACUCAGAUGGUCGCCCACAGAAGCUAAGCAGGGCUGCACCCAGUCAGUACCUGGAUGGGAGAUAACAUGGGAAUGCUAGGUUGCUGCCGGAA